UUGCUUCAACAGCAUAUAUACUAAAACUGGAAUGACACAGAUAAGAUUAGCGUAAGUUCCUGUGUAAGGAUGACAUGCAAAUAAAUGAAGCAUUCCAUAUUUUU